UACGGAGGAUGCAAGCGUUAUCCGGAAUGAUUGGGCGUAAAGCGUCCGCAGGUGGCUGUGUAAGUCUGCUGUCAAAGAGCGAAGCUCAACUUCGUAAAGGAAGUGGAAACUACACGGCUAGAGUGCGUUCGGGGCAGAGGGAAUUCCUGGUGUAGCGGUGAAAUGCGUAGAGAUCAGGAAGAACACCGGUGGCGAAGGCGCUCUGCUAGGCCGCAACUGACACUGAGGGACGAAAGCUAGGGGAGCGAAUGGG
rnacentral:rRNA from 1 species